rnacentral:tRNA from 1 species
GCCAGCGUAGCUCAGUGGUAGAGCAACUGUUUUGUAAACAGUAGGUCGUCGGUUCAAAUCCGACCGCUGGCU